AAAAGUAAAUUCAUUUUUUUUAUUAAUAAAAUUUACCUAAAUAAAUAAAAUCCACAUUGGGGCGAGGCACUUUGAGUGGAAGAAAAUAAAGAUGAAUUUAAUUAUUUUAAAAACAGAAAUGUCAUGCCCUUUGUUUCGGGGGGAAAAAAUAUAGAAAAUAAACAGAAAUCUGACAAAGUUGUGUUACAAUCACUCUACAGUGAAAAAAACAAAACAAAACAACAUGUCAGCUAGUCCCUCUUUUUCAUAAAUAAAUAAUAAAUCAGGGUUCCUCAAAUCUUGCCCUGGGGGGCCAGUGUGCUGCAGAGUUUAGCUUCAACCCUGAUCAAACUCACCUUUUUCUAAAGAUCCUGAAGACAAUGAUUAGCAUGCUGAGGUGUGUUUGAUUAAGGUUAGAGCUGAACUCUGCAGAAAAGUGGAUGUCGUGGGCCAUAUUUGAGCAUUCCUGAAACAGAAAAAGGCAACAACGAAUGUUUCAGUGAGGCACCCUGAGUGGAAGUAUAUAGGGGCCUAAUUUUGAAUGAUUUAAAAACAGAGAGGCCAUGCAUAUGUUUUCCUAAAAUAAAUAAAUAUUCGCUCUUGGGUUAAUGCUUGUUUUUUUUUGACCUGAUGAAACUCUCUUGUCCUGUUUCCAAAUACUGAGAAAGUAUCCAAAAAAAAAAAAAAACCUGACAUAUUUUAUUUGUUUACUUACAAGUCAUUUGACCCCUCACCAACAUCAGAGUAACAUGAACAGGAGAAUGUGUUUUGUCGAUAAAUUAUUGAAAUGUUAACUCAAAAUCCAAGAGGGUACAUCUCCUGUGUAGUUUGCAUCCAAGGGUUCGGCUGACAAACAAGUUUGGGAAGCGCUGAAGCUGAAGAGAGGAGCGUCAUUUCCAAAAGUACAUGCAGCGCUCAAGAGGUUGUUGCAGAGAGAGAAAUGGCCUGUCUAUCGCCUCCUGGAGGAGAAAGGAAGAAUGACGAGGCUGAGCUGGCCUUUGUCACACCGCAAGCAGUAAGAAGGCACAGAGAAAGCAAAAAAACAUAAACAAAAAAAAAUAAGGAUGAGGCAGCAGUCAGUUUAAAAGGGUA
rnacentral:lncRNA from 1 species